UACGGAGGGUGCGAGCGUUGUCCGGAAUCACUGGGCGUAAAGGGCGCGUAGGCGGCCUGAUAAGUAGGGGGUGAAAUCUUGCGGCUUAACCGCAAGGCUGCCUUCUAAACUGUCGGGCUAGAGCACAGUAGAGGCAGGUGGAAUUCCCGGUGUAGCGGUGGAAUGCGUAGAGAUCGGGAAGAACAUCAGUGGCGAAGGCGGCCUGCUGGGCUGUUGCUGACGCUGAGGCGCGACAGCAUGGGGAGCAAACAGG
rnacentral:rRNA from 1 species